CGGCGCGGGCCCAGACGCUUCCUAAUGGCCCUGGUGGCUGCCAAUCACGCGUCGCUCCCGCCCUGCCCCGCCCCGCUGGUGCCGCAGCUCCAGGCCAAGGUGGCCCGGGCCCGACAGUCGGUGGAUCUGAGCGCCGGGCCCGCGUCCGUCACCUCUCCCGAAUCUCUGCUCCUCGAUCUCUGGCUCCCGGUCCUGGGAUCUCUGCCUCUCUUGGGUCCGCGGAAGCCGCAGGCCGAUCCCUGGGGUGUUGAAAGGUCUUGAGAAACCUCCCUCUCCCCUGUCCCAACCCGAUGCUUAGCACCUGGGGUCUGUAGAGGUGGCCUGGGGACGCCCCGACGGACUUCCGGCCUCACUGCCCCUUCAAGGCGGGAACUCGCUCACAGGAAGAGGACGUUCUGGGGCCGGCUCUCAACCAGGCAGAGGCUCGGCUUCCCAAAAGGUCCCCACCUCAGACAGCACAGGAGCUGAAGGGCAGGCUGGAGGAAUGAUGACCUCAACUCAGCCUGGCCUGAGUGCACCAGACCUGCCGGAGCUGGGGGAAGGCGGCUUGAGAACCGCACAAGCACUGUUGGUUGGCUGAGGACUACUGAGGCAGUGGGGCAUGCGGCUCAGCCAGGCACUCGCUCUGGAAGGAAGUCAUCUACCACACAGAUUCUAAGUCCAGCUGGGAAACCCUUGCUUGCCUCUUAUCCCAGGCUACCGAGGCUCCCACCUGUGCCAGCUGUCCCCAUCCCGGAGGUCUGAGGUGGUGUGCGGCUGGGUGGGCAGUAUGCCCUGAGCCUCGUAAUACAGCCAGUCUUCCACAAACUCAGAUCCCCGGAUACCUGGAGAAGCCCACACUAACAGGCCAGAUCCACU